rnacentral:misc_RNA from 1 species
GAUGAAGAACGCAGCGAAAUGCGAUAAGUAAUGUGAAUUGCAGAAUUCAGUGAAUCAUCGAAUGUUUGAACGCACAUUGCGCCCCUUGGUAUUCCGAGGGGCAUGCCUGUUCGAGCGUCAUUAUAACCCCUCAAGCUCAGCUUGGUGUUGGGGCCUGCUGCACUGGCAGCCCUUAAAAUCAGUGGCGGCGCCAUCUGGCUCUAAGCGUAGUAAUUCUUCUCGCUAUGGAGUCCUGGUGGAUGCUUGCCAUCAACCCCCAAUUUUUCUAUGGUUGACCUCGGAUCAGGUAGGGAUACCCGCUGAACUUAAGCAUAUCAAUAACGGAGGA